rnacentral:rRNA from 1 species
UACGAAGGGGGCUAGCGUUGUUCGGAAUCACUGGGCGUAAAGCGCGUGUAGGCGGAUCGUUAAGUCGGGGGUGAAAUCCUGAGGCUCAACCUCAGAACUGCCUUCGACACUGGCGAUCUUGGAGUCCGGGAGAGGUGAGUGGAACUCCUAGUGUAGAGGUGAAAUUCGUAGAUAUUAGGAAGAACACCAGUGGCGAAGGCGGCUCACUGGCCCGGUACUGACGCUGAUAUGCGAAAGCGUGGGGAGCAAACAGG